CAGGAGCUCAUAUUACCGUCUCUCUUCUAAGACUUGGGGACCCCCAAUUAAACUCUUAGGUGACAGGUUCAAAAUAAACAGAAGGAAGGGGUUCUUCAGACACAGUGCUGUUAAGUGGUGGAACUCCUUACUGCAGGAUCUGAUGGAUACUACGAGCUUGCAUAGGUUCUAAACGCAAAGAGAUAAAUUCAUGGGGGAAAAAAAAAAAAAAACUUUUGAGGUCUAUUAAGCACAAAGUUCCUCUUGCUUCAAAGUUUCUCAGCUGCAAAUUUUUUAUUCAUUGGGAAAACGUGUUAUGUGCGUGCUAGUCUGGUUCAGGCUGCCCAGGGAGUGGUGGGGUCACCAUCCCUGGAGGUGUUCCAGAACCAUGGAGGUGUGGCACUGAAGGACAUGGGCAGUGAGGAUGGUGGGGAUGGGAUGAGGUUGGACAUGGGCAUCUUGGAGAUCUUUUCCAACCUUAAUGACUGUUAUUCAUAAGCUCAUCCUCAGCCAUUUGCUUUCUUCAGCUAAUGGGGGAAGAGAAUGCAACUAAUGGACCUUUGAGCUGAACCAUCAUGGUUGUACUUAUGUUUUCAUAUCUGUGCACAUUCGUACGUUCAUCAGCAAAAGACAUUUUUUAAAUCUCAUUUUGUGACAUCGCACAGAUUCCUGUGAGAAAAAUAUUCACCAUUGUUUCUCCCAUAUUUAUCGUGCAUCAGAAACCUAAAGAAGAUGACAUCCAGCAAACCAUGGUCUGCGCAUGGAGCAAGACUUCUUUGGUGUGCAUGAAAAGGCUACUUCAAGGCCAAGGAGCUGCAGAGCACAGAAGAGGCUGUGUGCAGUGGCUCACCCAGGGGCACGCGAGCGAUGCCGUUGUUCCUCCUGCAGCCUAGAACAGCACAGAAAUACCAACGUUGUCCCUCUUUCUCACUGUAAGGAAAUAGGUUGUGGCUCCUUCUUCCUUCCUACACCCACAAGUAUAGUCCAGGCAAGCAGUGGGGAGGCUGCAGAGAGGUCCGUCCCUUUUUCCAGGGCAUGGAAGAGCAGAUGAUUUUGCCUGCAGUGCUCAUAAAAAAAAAAAAAUUGAUUUCUUUCAUCUCUUUCCUGAGCAAAGGCCAGUGCUGAGCCUAGCAGAUUAUUCAAUAAUGUCCCAUAAAAAUAUUAAACUUCUGUAUCGGAACCAAAUUAAAAUUGUAUUUCAUGAUGUGAACAAAGGUACCCAAGUUGACUUCGUCUCUCG
rnacentral:lncRNA from 1 species